ACUUGAUAUACUUCCAACUAUUGUCUUGUUAGUAAAGGUCACAUUUUCCUAUAUUCCCAUCUUCUUAUGAGGCUCGACAGUUGAUAUGCUUCCAACUAUUGUCUUGUUAGUAAAGGUCACGUUUUCCUAUAUUCCCAUCUUCUUAUGAGGCUCGACAGUUGAUAUGCUUCCAACUAUUGUCUUGUUAGUAAAGGUCACAUUUUCCUAUAUUCCCAUCUUCUUAUGAGGCUCGACAGUUGAUAUGCUUCCAACUAUUGUCUUGUUAGUAAAGGUCACAUUUUCCUAUAUUCCCAUCUUCUUAUGAGGCUCGGCAGUCGACAAUUUUUCUGCCAGCUUAGUUUUUCAAAGCAUAUUUCUUUUUCAAUUACUUAGUUUAGUUAAAUUUUUCGUUUUUUAAUGUUUUUCUUAAUCAACUUAUAUUUUCUUAGCAUUUUUCUAAAUCAGCUUAUUUUUCAAAGCAUUUUCAUAUCCCAGCUUAAAGUUUUCAAAGCACUAUUUACCAAUACACCAACUAUUGUCUUGUUAGUGUGUACGAACUGGCAAACGCACCCCAACGACAUCACACGACAAUGUAAACGUCGCUCCGCUAACGUUUUCUACACGUGUUGUUACGAGCAUGGGCCGGCCAGUGGAGGGCGGCAUCGUGAGCACUGAGUUGUUAUAUAUAGCCACACACAUAUACAUAAUAUAUAUAUAUAUACCAUGUACAGCCACUGACACACCCUUACCCCCCGCCCUACCCCCGUCACUGUGUACAUAGGAGCGUUGCUGGGUGGACAGUUGAAGGCCUAGCGUGAGGUCGUCUGUCCCGCUGCCGUCUCGAAGCUUCAUUUGGUUUUAGCGCCGAUUGGGUGUUGUUGCGAAAAGUCGUCUUGAUUUCGGUUCACAAUUGUUGCCAAAUCCAGAUUACGAAACUACAGUUGUUGCCAAAAUCCAAUUCCAAAAGUUCACAGUUGUUGCCAAAAUCUAAAUUCAAAAAGUUUACAAUUGUUUCCAAAUUCUGGAUUACAAAAUUAUAGUCUUGCCAAAAUCCAAAUUCUGAGAGUACACAAUUGUUGCCAAAAUCUAAAUUCUGAGAGUACACAAUUGUUGCCAAAAUCUAAAUUCUGAGAGUACACAAUUGUUGCCAAAAUCUAAAUUCUGAGAGUACACAAUUGUUGCCAAAAUCUAAAUCCUUAAUGUACACAAUUGUUGCCAAAAUCUAAAUUCCGAGAGUACACAAUUGUUGCCAAAAUCCAAAUUCCUAAAGUUUACAUUUGCUACCCGAUUCUGGAUUACAAAAUUACACAAUUGUUGCCAAAAUCUAAAUCCUUAAUGUACACAAUUGUUGCCAAAAUCUAAAUUCCGAGAGUACACAAUUGUUGCCAAAAUCCAAAUUCCUAAAGUUUACAUUUGCUACCCGAUUCUGGAUUACAAAAUUACACAGUCUUGCCAAAAUUCAAAUUCCAAAAGUUCACAAUUGUUGCCAAAGUCUGAAUUCCGAGAGUACACAGUUGUUGCCAAAAUCCGAAUUCCAAAAGUUCACAUUGUUGUCAAAUUCUGGAUUACAAAAUUAUAGUCUUGCCAAAAUCCGCAUUCCAAAAGUUCAGAAUUGUUGCCAAAUUCUGGACUACAAAAUUAUAGUCUUGCCAAUAUCCGAAUUCCAAAAGUUCACAAUCGUUACCAAAUCCUGAUUCCAAAAGUUUACAAUCAUUACCAAAUCCUGAUUCCAAAAGUUCACAAUCGUUACCAAAUCCUGAUUCCAAAAAUUUACAAUCGUUGCCAAAAUCCUGAUUCCAAAAGUUCACAAUCGUUACCAAAAUCCUGAUUCCAAAAGUUUACAAUCAUUACCAAAAUUCUGAUUCCAAAAGUUUACAAUCAUUGCCAAAAAUUCUCCCCGACUUGUCUAGUUUUAGCGAAUUUGUGAGAAUAUUACGUACCGCCGCCGCCGCCGCCAACAACAGCAACAACAUAAACAAAACCAUACCAAAAAACUUUAAUAGAGUGCUUUACAUCCGUACUUGCAUGACGUUAAUUAAUUUGUUUGUACAUAAUAAUAAUGAUAAUAAUAAAGGUAGCAUUCUG